rnacentral:lncRNA from 1 species
CACCGUUUCAAUAGACAAUGGAGCUUUUCUGCGAUUUUUAUGCACCCUCAGACAAAUUUGACAAACAAAGCUAAAUUGAAUUUACUACAAAAACGACCCAGUUUAGAGGGCUAAAAGGUAGUUAAAUAGGACAUUCUCAGUAAUGUAGCACACAUGGUCUGUUCCAGUGUGACUAGAGCUAUCAUUUGACACCGUUUCAAUAGACAAUGGAGCUUUUCUGCGAUUUUUAUGCACCCCUAGACAAAUUUGACAAACAAAGCUAAAUUGAAUUUACUACAAAAACGACCCAGUUUAGAGGGCUAAAAGCUAGUUAAAUAGGACAUUCUCACUAAUGGUCUGUUCCAGUGUGACUAGAGCUAUCAUUUGACACCGUUUCAAUAGACAAUGGAGCUUUUCUGCAUUUUUUAUGCACCCCAAGACAAAUUUGACAAACAAAGCUAAAUUGAAUUUACUACAAAAACGACCCAGUUUAGAGGGCUAAAAGCUAGUUAAAU